CCCACUGCUAUCGGGGUGGGAUUUAGCCAUGCAAGUUAGCGUCUUUAAGCUAUGGUAAAGACACAGCGGCCGGCUCAGUAACACGUAGCUAAUCUACCCUUGAGACGGACAUAACCCCGGGAAACUGGGGCUAAUAUUCGAUAGGUGAGAAAACUUGGAACUGUUUCUCGCUUAAAAGGUAUUGGAACCAUGCUUCCAGUAUUGCUCAAGGAUGAGGCUGCGGCCGAUCAGGUAGUUGGUGAGGUAAAGGCUCACCAAGCCUAUAACCGGUACGGGCCGUGAGAGCGGAAGCCCGGAGAUGGGCACUGAGACAAGGGCCCAGGCCCUACGGGGCGCAGCAGGCGCGAAAACUCCGCAAUGCGCGAAAGCGUGACGGGGCUACCCCGAGUGCUGUCCGCUGAGGAUAGCUUUUCUCUGAUUUAGCAAGUCAGAGGAAUAAGGGGAGGGCAAGCCUGGUGUCAGCCGCCGCGGUAAUACCAGCUCCUCGAGUGGUGGGGACGAUUAUUGGGCCUAAAGCGUUCGUAGCCUGCUUAGUAAGUCCUCUGUUAAAUCCAACGACCUAAUCGUUGGACUGCAGAAGAUACUGCUAGGCUAGGGGGCGGGAGAAGUCGACGGUACUCUCGAGGUAGGGGUGAAAUCCUAUAAUCCCGGGAGGACCACCAGUGGCGAAGGCGGUCGGCUAGAACGCGCCCGACGGUGAGGGACGAAAGCUGGGGGAGCAAACCGGAUUAGAUACCCGGGUAGUCCCAGCUGUAAACGAUGCAGGCUAGGUGUUGGCGUGACUACGUGUCACGUCAGUGCCGCAGAGAAGUUGUUAAGCCUGCCGCCUGGGAAGUACGGUCGCAAGACUGAAACUUAA
rnacentral:rRNA from 1 species